rnacentral:lncRNA from 1 species
ACAAUUUGACCUACCAACCUUUUUAGGUUAGUGUAGGUUGGUGUUCAAUAUUGAGGUUUCUAUGACAGAUGUCAUAAAUGGCUUCAUUGUCUACUGUGAAGGCACAGAAUGCCCCAGGGUGGUGUGGGUGGUGAGAGUGAAGUUAUAGGGCUCAACUACAGCUCUGGAAACCUGGAGGGCUGGGUAAAUGGAAAACUCUAGCUUGGACUUCUUGCCAUAAUCAACAGAGAGACAUUCUAUUAGCAGGGAGGUGAGCUGGGAACCAGUUCCUCCUCCAAAGCUGUGGAAAACCAAGAAGCCCUGAAGACCUGUGCACUGGUCAGCCAGUUUCUGAAUUUGGUUCAAGACAAGAUUGUAGUUUCAUCAAGGCAGGAACCAGGUGGAUCUUGCCCAUGGUUUAUGUCUGAGGCUUUGGACACUGCCCUAUACAACAUAAGUUUUACUUUGUGUGAAAUACCACGCUGAACAUUGGUGACCUGGAGAUAUAGAAGAAGGUGUGCAGCUAGACUGUGGAACAGCUCUCAGAAGCUCACAUUUAAAUGUGGGAUGAUAUGGAGGCUCCAGGUAAAAUAUUUGUCUGGUUCGGAGCAUGGGUUUCUCAUCAUAAUUCAGUGAAGGU